CAGCAGCAGCCGCGGUAAUACGGAGGGUGCGAGCGUUAAUCGGAAUUACUGGGCGUAAAGCGUACGCAGGCGGUUUGUUAAGUCAGAUGUGAAAUCCCCGAGCUUAACUCGGGAACUGCAUUUGAAACUGGCAGGCUAGAGUCUCGUAGAGGGGGGUAGAAUUCCAGGUGUAGCGGUGAAAUGCGUAGAGAUCUGGAGGAAUACCGGUGGCGAAGGCGGCCCCCUGGGCGAAGACUGACGCUCAGGUACGAAAGCGUGGGGAGCAAACAGGAUUAGAUACCCGCGUAGUCCCUGUCUCUUAUAC
rnacentral:rRNA from 1 species